rnacentral:rRNA from 1 species
CUAUCAGCUUGUUGGUGGGGUGAUGGCCUACCAAGGCGACGACGGGUAGCCGGCCUGAGAGGGUGUCCGGCCACACUGGGACUGAGAUACGGCCCAGACUCCUACGGGAGGCAGCAGUGGGGAAUAUUGCACAAUGGGCGCAAGCCUGAUGCAGCGACGCCGCGUGGGGGAUGACGGCCUUCGGGUUGUAAACCUCUUUCAGUAGGGACGAAGCGCAAGUGACGGUACCUACAGAAGAAGCACCGGCCAACUACGUGCCAGCAGCCGCGGUAAUACGUAGGGUGCGAGCGUUGUCCGGAAUUACUGGGCGUAAAGAGCUCGUAGGUGGUUUGUCGCGUUGUUCGUGAAAACCGGGGGCUUAACCCUCGGCGUGCGGGCGAUACGGGCAGACUAGAGUACUGCAGGGGAGACUGGAAUUCCUGGUGUAGCGGUGGAAUGCGCAGAUAUCAGGAGGAACACCGGUGGCGAAGGCGGGUCUCUGGGCAGUAACUGACGCUGAGGAGCGAAAGCGUGGGGAGCGAACAGGAUUAGAUACCCUGGUAGUCCACGCCGUAAACGGUGGGUACUAGGUGUGGGUUUCCUUCCUUGGGAUCCGUGCCGUAGCUAACGCAUUAAGUACCCCGCCUGGGGAGUACGGCCGCAAGGCUAAAACUCAAAGGAAUUGACGGGGGCCCGCACAAGCGGCGGAGCAUGUGGAUUAAUUCGAUGCAACGCGAAGAACCUUACCUGGGUUUGACAUGCACAGGACGCCAGUAGAGAUAUUGGUUCCCUUGUGGCCUGUGUGCAGGUGGUGCAUGGCUGUCGUCAGCUCGUGUCGUGAGAUGUUGGGUUAAGUCCCGCAACGAGCGCAACCCUUGUCUCAUGUUGCCAGCACGUUAUGGUGGGGACUCGUGAGAGACUGCCGGGGUCAACUCGGAGGAAGGUGGGGAUGACGUCAAGUCAUCAUGCCCCUUAUGUCCAGGGCUUCACACAUGCUACAAUGGCCGGUACAAAGGGCUGCGAUGCCGUGAGGU